rnacentral:lncRNA from 1 species
UCAGUCACGAACACCCGAAGCUGUGUUGCCACCCAAUAUCAAUGCUGUUUCAUCUGCUGGAGUUAUUGCUGAUGGCAUGGGUAUGCAGUCUUCAUUAGCGAGAAAAAAUCCAAUCGGUAGAGCCUCCAGGCAUCUCGGCCCUCCACCUGGGUUUAACCCUGUCCCCUCUAAGGUGGUAAAGGAGCCUGCACCUGGUCCGGAUAUGUCUGGCAACAAUCCACAGGUUGAUGAUUACAGCUGGUUGGAUGGAUACCAAGGCCAGCCGGUUCGGGUCUUCAGCGUCCAUCCACGAAACUCAAAUUCGAGAACCGGAAUGCAUUCAGCGAGUAACCCAGCACGUCCAUCCAAUGCGCCCAAAACAGUUUAUCCCCUUCCCCACUCGGAAUCAUCUCCUCUAUCGCCUUACCUAACCCCACAUCCUUCGCCACGUGUUCGUCGCAACAUCCAUCCGCAACCGUCGUCUCUCUCAUAAACUCUCUCUGAAGCGUAACCGCCGAAAUCCGAUCGCACGCCCCGGUGUUCAGCCGAAACGUCAGCAAUCUCUUCUCGCCGUCGCGCAGAUCGUAGAGACUAACGAAGAAGACGCCGCACUCGCCGUUACUCCAAAUGCAUUUCUGAAACACCCAUUUCGAUUCCGAUUGACUGGUUCAAAAGCAAUGUGUGGAUUCCCUAAAGAACUGUAGGAGGAGACACGCUUCAGAAAAUCUUCAUAGCGGCUUCAGAACAAUGGAGCCAUGUGGAUGUGUGAUAUAUGUUAGGUUACAUAAACUGGCACUAUCAAAUUGAGGGGUUUGAGAAGAUUAGGUCAUACCUAUUCUUCGAUCAGAAGCAGGUGAAGGCCGAUUAGCAUCCCGACUUUAGCGGGAUAUGGGCUUCUCAAAAGUGAAUCAACUUGACAGGCGGCGACUUUGUCGAAGUAAACAGUCAGAGAUCGACGAUUUGGAGCGUUUUAGGGCCACCAUAGCGAUGGUUCAAGGAUUUGGAGUCUAUAUAUAUAUAUGUAUCAAAGAGAAGUUGGAAAAUGGAUUGACAUGUAGAAGUUUGAGCAUACUCUAAACGGCAGAAGAUGAAGAAGAGGUAACAGAUGGCUAGGUAAACUUUAUGUCAAUUAAAUCAGAAUCUUUACAGUAGAGAAAUCUGAAAAGGUUGUAAACGGUGGCUGUGAUUAAUUAAUUUUGCCCGUAUUUUGAAUAAUAAUGAUAUGUAUUUUGGGCUAUAAUGAUGAGCCACGACAACACAGAAAAUCAGAAGCCCAUAACUAAGUUGGCCUGCGAAAAUUUUGUGUUGACUAACAGCAGACUGACGUGGCAAAAUGAAACUUCAUUAUUGGUUGAUUUUUAAAGUGACGUGGACACCUUUCCUGUGGAUUAUAUAUCCCUUUUAUUAUAGGAUAGAUUUUUUGUUUAGGCAAUUUUUUUCAAGAAAUUCAUAACUGAAGAAAGUAAAAAGGAAAAAUAGACGGUGAAAAAAAAAAGAAGAGGAAGUGAAAACUAUGGGAGAAAAAGAAAAGACAAAGAAACGACGUCGUCAAAGCUUAUUUUCCCUCGUUCACUAUUUUUUUUCUGUCUCGUAUAUAUACACUAAGGAAAAGUCUGACCUUGACAAAUAUACAACAUCACCGCGUCUCCUUCUCUCUCUUUUUUUUUCCUCGUUGGAAAAAAAAACCCCUAGCUUCUCCAUCUCUCACCGAUGGUCAUGGUCGCAUAGCCAUUCGCAGAUCUGGUAAAAUUGAGUUUAUAACCCUCUCUUUUCUCUUAUCCUAUUUCACAAUUUCGCUCUUGGUUGCUUUGUUUUGUGUUUUCCCCUUUUUACAAAAUUGAUGCUGAUUCUGCUUUGAUUACCCUCCUCGUUCGCAGAAUUUUUAGUCAUGAUUAUGGGUAACAUAGGGUUGGUCCUGAUUUUGGUUUUUCCUGAUUAUUUUUUUGGUAGAUUUCAACUCUAUUAAAUCGAAUUUUUUUUUGUUAUUCGUCAUUAUCUCUGGUUGAUCACUUGUACAAUCGAAUGUUCUCUGUAAAGGGUCUUGUUUUCUCUGUUCAAGGUUUUGACUUGAACUUGUUUUCUUCUUGUGUUAACACUGAUCGAAACUGCUUACGGAACUCUGAUUAAUAUCAUCUAUUGGCUCUUUAGAUGAUUGCUUUUGUUUAAGCUUCUUAUAUAUGUUUUUUUUUGUUAUAGAUAAUGACACCAGCAUAGCUUUAGCCUGAGAUUUUUAUUUAUUUAUUUCAGGUCGUUGACAAUUUUGAGACUUUGCAGAUGGAUAAAAAGACUGCUUCCUCGCCAUGGGAGCGAGCCCAAUCCAUAUUCGAUAAGGUUUCCUUCUCUUUCUUACUUUGACAACUCUGUGAAUUUACCUUUAUUAUUGUUUUUGGAGUAGUUUUUUUUACAAUGGAAGCUGUAUCAGUUCGUCUUUAGCUCAUCGUAGGGUUAUAAAGGCCGUUUUGUCUCUGUACUUGAGGCUAUGGUUUUGUAGACCUCUUUAUAGUGACAAUAUAUGCAUUCUUUGCAGACUAUUGAGUUGGAAGCCAAGCGUAGGAAGGCUGCACAGUCUCGGACCCCGACGUCUGACCCCAAUUUGUGGCAGCAAAUUCGCGAGAAUUACGAAGCUAUCGUUCUCGAAGAUCAUGCUUUCUCUGAGCAGCACACCAUUGAGUUUACACUGUGGCAGUUGCAUUACAAACGGAUUGAAGAGUACAGAUCAAACAUCAAUGCUGUCUUGGCUUCUGGUAGCUCCGGUGCGGCUCAGAAUGCAAAGGGUCCUUCUAUAUCCGAACGAGUCGCGAGGGUCAAGCUGAGGUUCAGAACUUUUCUUUCGGAAGCAACUGGGUUUUACCAUGAGAUGAUAUUGAAAAUUAGAUCGAACUAUGGUCUUCCCCUGGGUUACUUUUCCGAUGAUCAAGAGAGUCAAAAUUUGGCUGAUAAGGAUGGGAAGAAGCUGGCUCAAGUUAAGAAAGGCUUGGUGUCUUGUCACCGUUGCUUAAUAUACCUUGGUGAUCUUGCUCGGUACAAAGGAUUGUAUGGAGAGGGAGGAGAUUCCAAGAACCGAGAGUAUGCUGCUGCUUCGGGUUACUAUUUGCAAGCAGCUUCUCUGUUGCCAGCCAGUGGAAACCCACAUCAUCAGGUUCUCUCUCUUUCUGAUGAGAUCUUUUUAUUAGCUAUGUACAGUGUUUCUGAUUAGAUUAACUCUAUGUCUCAGCUUGCUAUAAUUGCUUCUUAUUCGGCGGAUGAGUUUGCAGCAACUUAUCGUUACUUCCGGAGCUUGGCUGUGGAGAGUCCUUUUCCCACUGCCCGUGACAACUUGAUUGUUGCUUUUGAAAAGGUUAACUAACGAAUUUAUGUUUUAAAUAUCUCAGUCGCUUAGGAUAAUAGCCAUGGUCCUCUCACUUUCUUAGUACUCAAAUAUAAUGUAACUUUACCUCUUUGUACGGUUAAGCAGAAUCGUCAGAGUUAUGCCCAGUUGCUUGCGGCUUCCAAAGACUCAUCUACAAAGCCGAAUGGUAAAGGAAGAGGUAAAGGCGAAGACAAAUCAUCGGAAGAUGCGAACGUGGCUUCUGUUCCUGAGAAGGAUAAAGUAACUAGUGCAAAUGAGAUGCUUAAAGCAUUCUGCAUUAGAUUUGUACGUCUCAACGGGAUUCUUUUCACCCGAACAAGGUAUUCUCUUUAUUUCUGAUUUUAGUUUGUUCUAGAUUCUGUUACUGGCUCUCUUAUAUAAAAUAUUUACCACUUGUCUUUGUCAGCCUGGAGACAUUCUUUGAUGUUCUUGCUUCCACUAGCAUCAGUCUACGAGAGCUGAUUACUUCAAGCUUAAUGGAAGUGCUGGUUUUUGGCAAAGACACCAGUGACAGCGCACUCUUCAUUGUUAGACUCGUGACGAUUCUUAUAUUCAGCGCCCAUAACCUUAAGAAAGGGACAGACCCUAAGAAAGAGACAGAGGGUCAGUCAUAUGCGCAAAUUGUACAGCGUGUGGAGCCUGCUAGAAACUCCUUAACAGCAAGUUUCGAGUUACUUGGACACGUAAUAGAGCAGUGUGCGCAACUGCGUGAUCCUUCGUCAAGCUAUUUCUUGCCUGGUGUCUUAGUUUUUGUUGAAUGGUUGGCCUGUUGUCCUGAUAUUGCAUCGGGAAGUGAUCCGGAUGAAAGACUGGCUGCUGCGAGAAACAGCUUUUGGAACCAGUGUGUUGCCUUCUUCAAUCGACUCUUGUCGCUUGGGCCUAUGUAUAUUGAUGAUGUCGAAGAUGAGACUUGCUUCUCAAACAUGAGCAUGUAUGAUGAAAGAGAAACUGAAAACCGACUUGCUCUGUGGGAGGACUAUGAAUUAAGAGGAUUCUUGCCAUUGCUUCCAGCUCAGACUAUUCUCGAUUUCUCAAGAAAACAUUCCUUUGGAACUGAAGGGCCCAAGGAAAAGAAAGCUCGUAUUAAGAGGAUCCUAGCAGCAGGGAAAGCAUUGACCAGUGUGAUCAAGGUUGAUCAGAAUUGUGUUUAUUUUGACUCAAAGAAGAAGAAGUUUCUCGUUGGUGUUAAACCGUCCGGUGACUUACUGGAUUCUCAUUCAAACCCACCUGAAGCUGAUAAUGCUUUACAAGAAAACCAAGCAAUGAUGAACCAUAAUACGCCAGUGACGCAACGAGAUCAGCAGAUUUACUUGGAUGAGGAAGAUGAUGAAGAAGAAGAAAUUGUUUUCAAACCUCUAGUUACUGAGAAGAGGAAUGGGGCUUCUGACCAAACCUAUGUUCCUAAUGGAGGCUUGAGGAAUCCUGAUCAAGUUCCUAACGGAGGCUUCAGGAAACCUGAUCAAGUUGCUACGAUGAGAGAAGACUUAAAAUCUCUGAGUGUUUCAGAUGCAGCUUUUCAAGGAAACAUGCUUCAGCACUCAAGAGGCAAUGCAGCUGUUCAAGUGCCUGCGUCUGUUGGUUCUAACCUUCUGGGACAUCUUCUGCCGUCAACCCAGUCUCAGGGUAUGCAGUUGCAACAACCUCAGACACAAGCAGUGCAUCCUCAGCAAGCUCAAUCGCUGGCUUCUUCACGACUUCAACCACAUCAAUCACAGGUCUCACAACUUCAACCACUGCAAUCACGGACUGUGCACUUUCAACAAACUCAGGGACAGGUUUCACAUGCUGCACCGGCCCAGCCACAAUCAACUUCCCUUAGUGGUAGCAACUGGUUCCCAAAUGAAGCUGCUAGGAGCCUAUCUGGUUUCGCUCAGAUGGGUAAUGGUCUUGUGAUGAGGAACGAGAUGCAAGGAAACCAGGGAUUUUCCUAUUACCCUGCACACUCAUUGCCGAUCCACCAGUCUUUCAAUGUCAACGGUAUGGGUGGUAUGCCAUAUUCUCAGUCACGAACACCCGAAGCUGUGUUGCCACCCAAUAUCAAUGCUGUUUCAUCUGCUGGAGUUAUUGCUGAUGGCAUGGGUAUGCAGUCUUCAUUAGCGAGAAAAAAUCCAAUCGGUAGAGCCUCCAGGCAUCUCGGCCCUCCACCUGGGUUUAACCCUGUCCCCUCUAAGGUGGUAAAGGAGCCUGCACCUGGUCCGGAUAUGUCUGGCAACAAUCCACAGGUUGAUGAUUACAGCUGGUUGGAUGGAUACCAAGGCCAGUCUUCUCGAGGCACCGGUUUCAACGGUUCUUUGAAUUACGCAUCUCCUGGGAAACCAGAGCACAUGGGUACCGGCAAUGGAUUGAACGGGCCUUCCACCUUUCCGUUCCCUGGAAAACAAGCUCCUGC